UACGUAGGGGGCUAGCGUUGUCCGGAAUCAUUGGGCGUAAAGCGCGUGUAGGCGGUCCGGUAAGUCCGCUGUGAAAGUCGGGGGCUCAACCCUCGAAUGCCGGUGGAUACUGUCGGGCUAGAGUGCGGAAGAGGCGAGUGGAAUUCCUGGUGUAGCGGUGAAAUGCGCAGAUAUCAGGAGGAACACCGAUGGCGAAGGCAGCUCUCUGGGCCUGUUCUGACGCUGAGGAGCGAAAGCUGGGGGAGCGAACAGG
rnacentral:rRNA from 1 species